rnacentral:rRNA from 1 species
AGUGAACGCUGGCGGUAGGCCUAACACAUGCAAGUCGAACGGCAGCACAGUAAGAGCUUGCUCUUACGGGUGGCGAGUGGCGGACGGGUGAGGAAUACAUCGGAAUCUACUUUUUCGUGGGGGAUAACGUAGGGAAACUUACGCUAAUACCGCAUACGACCUACGGGUGAAAGCAGGGGAUCUUCGGACCUUGCGCGAUUGAAUGAGCCGAUGUCGGAUUAGCUAGUUGGCGGGGUAAAGGCCCACCAAGGCGACGAUCCGUAGCUGGUCUGAGAGGAUGAUCAGCCACACGGGAACUGAGACACGGUCCAGACUCCUACGGGAGGCAGCAGUGGGGAAUAUUGGACAAGGGGCGCAAGCCUGAUCCAGCCAUACCGCGUGGGUGAAGAAGGCCUUCGGGUUGUAAAGCCCUUUUGUUGGGAAAGAAAAGCAGCAGGUUAAUACCCCGCUGUUCUGACGGUACCCAAAGAAUAAGCACCGGCUAACUUCGG